GUGAAUCAUCGAAUUUUUGAACGCAAAUCGCACUCUCUUCGGAGAGUAUGCCUGUUUGAGGGUCAGCCUAAAAAAAAAAAAUCGACAUAGUCGCUGUUUCCCGCUGACAUUCUUGGUAAAUUUUUUUUUUUUUUUCUUUUGGGUUUUAAUUGUUUUAAAAUUUUCUUUACGAUUCCACGUCCGUUUCUAAUUUUUACUUCUUAUACCUUUAAG
rnacentral:misc_RNA from 1 species